rnacentral:rRNA from 1 species
CUGUCUCAACAACAGACUCGGUGAAAUUGUAAUUCCGGUGAAGAUGCCGGAUACCUGCGACAGGACGGAAAGACCCCAUGGAGCUUUACUGUAGCUUGACAUUGGGUCUUGGUACUACAUGUACAGGAUAGGUGGGAGGCUUUGAAACCAGGACGCCAGUUUUGGCGGAGCCAUCCUUGGGAUACCACCCUUGUAGUACUGGGACUCUAACCAUAGGCCAUGAAUCUGGUCUUGGGACACUGUCAGGUGGGCAGUUUGACUGGGGCGGUCGCCUCCCAAAAGGUAACGG